UUAUGACCAUAUCUCGUUGAAACACCAGUUUCCAUACGAUCAUUGACGUUAAGCAGCAUCAAGCCUGGUUAGUACCUAGACGGGUGACCACUUGGGAGUACCAGGUGCUAU